rnacentral:rRNA from 1 species
GAUGAACGCUGACAGAAUGCUUAACACAUGCAAGUCGACCCGAGUCUUCGGACUUGGGUGGCGCACGGGUGAGUAACGCGUAAAGAACUUGCCUCUUAGACUGGGACAACAUCUGGAAACGGAUGCUAAUACCGGAUAUUAUCGUUUCUUCGCAUGGAGGAAUCAUGAAAGCUAUAUGCGCUAAGAGAGAGCUUUGCGUCCCAUUAGCUGGUUGGUGAGGUAACGGCCCACCAAGGCAAUGAUGGGUAGCCGGCCUGAGAGGGUGAACGGCCACAAGGGGACUGAGACACGGCCCUU